rnacentral:RNase_P_RNA from 1 species
CGAGCCGACCGGGCGGCCGCGUCGGGAGACAGAGAUCCCGCCGAGGAAAGUCCGGGCUUCACAGGGCAGGGUGGUUGCUAACGGCAACCCGGGGCGACCCGCGGGACAGUGCCACAGAGAACAGACCGCCAGCGCGUUCGGCGCUGGUAAGGGUGAAACGGCGGUGUAAGAGACCACCAGCGCCGCGAGUGAUCGUCGGCGGCUCGGUAAACCCCACCCGGAGCAAGGUCAAGCAGGUUCGCCAGCACGAGCUGGUGAUCCGCGCAGGCGAUCGAGGGCGGCCCGCCCGAUGCCUGCGGGUAGACCGCUAGAGCCUGUCGGCGACGGCAGGCCGAGAUGGAUGGCCGCCACCGGCGCGCGAGCGCCGGGACAGGACCCGGCUUAGAAGUCGACUCGUCCG